rnacentral:tRNA from 3 species
GGCCCAGUGGUCUAGUGGUAGUACGUCAAAUGUUCACACCUCACGAGAAUCAUAACUAACAGUUCCUGCAUGGAUUUGUGAUUCGGGAGAAAUCCCUUCUCUUUCAAAGACAAUUUACAAGGUCCCGGGUUCAAAUCCCGGCUGGGCCC